CCCCGGGGCCUGAGUGACUCUUGUCCCGCCAGCCAGCGGUGGGGGGGAGGGGGCAGGAUCCCUGGGCCAGGCUGCCAUCCCACGCACCCCUCCCCAGCAGCCCGGCCGAUGGAGGCGCCCAGCUGGCUUUGGUUUUCCCCAUGUUUUUCCAAUUAUGUGGGAUGGGCUAAAAACAGCAGUAGCGGGGCCUUAUUUGGGAGUUGCCACCACCGUCCGAGGGAGCCUGCUGCUCUCCUGGCUCCAGUGGCGUCCCCGCGCAUUCCUCAUCACUGGGGGCUUCUGGGCGGUGCGCGUCCCCGCUCGAGGCCCGGACGACUGGGGCAGGUAUAACUUGCCGACGGUGAAAUGCACAGAUUCCAAGCGUACAUUCUGAUUUCGAUUUGGCAGUUGUAUAUAUCUGCCCAACCACCACCCCCGGUCCGGAUCCGGAAGGUUUCCAGCACCCGGGAGAUUCCCUGGUGCCCUUUGCAGCGCCCCCCCACCCCCCCACAUGCCGCAGGGGCAGCUCUGUCCUGACUUCUAUCACCACGGAUUAGUUUUGCCUGUUUUGGGAACGUCCUAGAAAUGGAACCACACACCAUGUGGUCUUUUGUGUCUGAGCCUGAAGACUAACUUCUACAUCGAAUAAAAGAGAAGAGGGGA